GGUGAGUAAUACUUAGGAAUCUACCUAGUAGUGGGGGAUAGCUCGGGGAAACUCGAAUUAAUACCGCAUACGACCUACGGGAGAAAGGGGGCAGUUUACUGCUCUCGCUAUUAGAUGAGCCUAAGUCGGAUUAGCUAGUUGGUGGGGUAAAGGCCUACCAAGGCGACGAUCUGUAGCUGGUCUGAGAGGAUGAUCAGCCACACCGGGACUGAGACACGGCCCGGACUCCUACGGGAGGCAGCAGUGGGGAAUAUUGGACAAUGGGGGCAACCCUGAUCCAGCCAUGCCGCGUGUGUGAAGAAGGCCUUUUGGUUGUAAAGCACUUUAAGCAGUGAAGAAGACUCUAUGGUUAAUACCCAUAGACGAUGACAUUAGCUGCAGAAUAAGCACCGGCUAACUCUGUGCCAGCAGCCGCGGUAAUACAGAGGGUGCAAGCGUUAAUCGGAAUUACUGGGCGUAAAGCGAGCGUAGGUGGCUUGAUAAGUCAGAUGUGAAAGCCCCGGGCUUAACCUGGGAACGGCAUCUGAUACUGUUAGGCUAGAGUAGGUGAGAGGAAGGUAGAAUUCCAGGUGUAGCGGUGAAAUGCGUAGAGAUCUGGAGGAAUACCGAUGGCGAAGGCAGCCUUCUGGCAUCAUACUGACACUGAGGUUCGAAAGCGUGGGUAGCAAACAGGAUUAGAUACCCUGGUAGUCCACGCCGUAAACGAUGUCUACUAGUCGUUGGGGAACUUGAUUCCUUAGUGACGCAGCUAACGCAAUAAGUAGACCGCCUGGGGAGUACGGCCGCAAGGUUAAAACUCAGAUGAAUUGACGGGGGCCCGCACAAGCGGUGGAGCAUGUGGUUUAAUUCGAUGCAACGCGAAGAACCUUACCUGGUCUUGACAUAUCUAGAAUCCUGCAGAGAUGCGGGAGUGCCUUCGGGAAUUAGAAUACAGGUGCUGCAUGGCUGUCGUCAGCUCGUGUCGUGAGAUGUUGGGUUAAGUCCCGCAACGAGCGCAACCCUUGUCCUUAGUUACCAGCGGUUUGGCCGGGAACUCUAAGGAUACUGCCAGUGACAAACUGGAGGAAGGCGGGGACGACGUCAAGUCAUCAUGGGCCUUACGACCAGGGCUACCCCCGUGCUACAAUG
rnacentral:rRNA from 1 species